rnacentral:lncRNA from 1 species
UAUUACACUGAAAGCGUUACUACUUGCUCUUCUAUUUUUGCGCGAACACUUUCGCUUUUCGCUAUCUAGCGCACGCUUUGACCGUUCGCGUAAUUAUCUGAGCGGAUCGAUGCACUUCGAUUACGGAUCGAAUACCGCUUUCGAUAAAUCCCCGGCAAUGAGCCGUGAUAGAACAAUUGUAUCUUUAUAUUUUAUUCCUCAUACAUUUGUGUAUGUGAAUAGUGUUCGAAAUCAGAUACCAGGAAAGCGUAAUUGCUUAGUUUAACUUGUCGCUGGAUAUCAAAGACAUCUCAUUAAAAGAUAUCGAUGCCAUAUGCACGUAUCAAUAAACGAUAGUAAAUAGCUUCGAGUUCCGCCACUUUUAAUCGUCAACAACUGUACAAAUCGCGGGCGAUUAAGUGGCUUGUAAAAUUUAAUAUUGGUCAAUGCAGAUCGUGACGCUGGUAUCUAAUCAAUAAAACGGUAGUACAAAGUGUAAACAGUAAAACGUAGCCAGAAUUGAAGUGAAUCAACUCUGUCGAGAUAACGGGAGCAAACAAAAAAACUUCUUUGACCUCGCACUUCCAAUUAUGUUGAUAACAAUAUGAAUAUUACCGAACGUAAUUAAAAAUAAUGUUAUGCGUUACUGGCAUGUGCCAUUGAAUUUUUUCACUUAAGCUUUGACGGCCAGUGCCAUUGAUAUACCAAUUUUUAGUGCAUUCGCGACGAAUAACGAAAGCCGAUAACUUUACGACGUACAAUAGCUCUGUAAGUUUUUCAGUAAUACAAAAACGUAUGAAAAAGAUCGAUCAAGGUAACUCAACUAUCCGAUCAUUCGAAAAUUGUAUCUUGAAUUUGCAAUUUAACCGUCGCCUUGAGAGUACUGAUUUCGUUGUUUUUGUAUUGACGUCCUUCAUUCGUUAUCUAAGAGAUACUUAGUGUUUUGUUAGUCGAGAAGGGGAGGAUGCUCCAAAAUGAGAAAUUAUUGCGCGGCGAUCAAGAGAGAUGGAAAAAAACUCCUGGAAAGACGCUAAUGUAAAUAGAACGGUGCAUCGGUGCUUUUUUCUGCGACUCGUUCGAAUAGAUUCGUCGUUUUGUCGCAUUAUCGCGUCACGUGUGGGAUCGGCAAAUUAUCGCAACCAGACGGUGAACUACGGACCAAGCGAACGGCGGUGGAUCGUGUCGAAAUGCAUUCUCAUCGCUUCAGCGCAAUGAGAUCGAAAAAUUAGCGAAUGAUCCAUCGCCGCUUUGAUAAGGUCAACAACGAAGAUUGCAAUCGCUAACUAGCUUUUCUUUUAUGAAGUUGCGUUACUUUAUUGUGUAAUAGACAACUAUUAUCUUUCGAUUAUAAGUUAGAAUAUGAAGUUGUAUUAGGGAUCACACUUUAUUGCAUAGUGCAAUUUAUAUUUAAUUUAAAUUUAUAUAUAUUUAUGUAAAUAAUAGUAGAGCUUACACACUUCAAAUUUGACAAUGAUAUGUAUUGACUACAAAUUAUUUAGAGAAAUUAAUCAUAUUUAAAUUUACUUCAACUAAAAUUAAUUCAGAACCAAUACUGUUUUUCUGACCAAAGCAAAUAACACGUGUCCACGUUUCAACAUAAUUGAACCAAUACAUAUUUUUGUUAACUUUAUAACUAACAAUUUAGAUAUCUACUGAUUAUAAAUUGGGAAAUAAAUUUGCGAAAUUGGAACACUGUUACAACAUUCAUCGCAAAAAAUAAUAUGUUUGUUCCACGACAAAAUGUUUAUUGAACUGCUGCCAUUAUCUUCGUACAUUACACAAAAAGGCUGUUAUUAUAUUCGCUUAAAUGUAGUUUAAGUAUUUUGCAAGUAUUAAAAAUUAUUAGUACUUUAUUUCACGGUUGACAAAUAUAGAAUGUAUAAUGAUAAUGUGUUUCAAGUUUGCAAGUAGUGUAUGAGUAUAUGAUUAUGAGUAUAUUAAUGAGUAUAUAAACAAGUGUAUGAGUAUACAAACAAUGUUUAUAUACUCAGUGGUAUAACAAACUAGUUAAGUGUUUAUUUAUUGCAAAUUAAAUUGGUGAAUUUAGAACGUUCUUAUUCAUAAAUUUAUAAGUAUAUAAACAUGUAUGAUUAUGAGUAUAUUAAUGAGUAUAUGUAUAAAAAAGUGUAUGAGUAUACAAACAAUGUUUAUAUACUCAGUGGUAUAACAGACUAGUUAAGUGUUUAUUUAUUGCAAAUUAAAUUGGUGAAUUUAGAACGUUCUUAUUCAUAAAUUUAUAAGUAUAUAAACAUGUAUGAUUAUGAGUAUAUUAAUGAGUAUAUAAAAAAGUGUAUCAGUAUAAAAACAAUAUUUAUAUACUCAGUGGUAUAACAGACUGGUUAGGUGUUUAUUUAUUGCAAAUAAAAUUGGUAAAACGUUCUAAUUCAUAAAUUUAUAACACCUUGAAUUAUGACAACAAUGUAUAUUUUUGAAUUAAGGUCGCACCCUGAAUCUGGCUGAAUCGAAUAACAUUAUGCUAGAUGAAAGUGAAACGAGGGCGAUGGAGAGUUAUAGUGCAGCAUGGAGAUCGUAUACAUCCAGAACAUAAUGUCCACGAAACUCGCCUUGCAGUCGAGGUGAAUUCAGGGAGACGAAAAAGAAAAAAGACAACGUUGAGAUUGCCCAGAGAAAGGAAACGUGCUUAGCGUAGUAGCCGGUUGUCAUUGAUUAAUUUCCUGGAACAUAGGAUCACGGAUAGCGGUGACAUAGGGUGCGCGAAAAUCUCGAAGUUUCGGUAAACUUCGGACCCGUUUUCUCCAACGAGAUACCGAUACCUUUACUCUCGUGGGAAAUCAGUAAAAUUUAUUCGAGAAGUUACUUUUAAUGAAUGCAAGCAUUAGUCUUGUCAAGAAUUUUAACAGUUUUGUUUUGUAGGUCGAAGGAAAAUUGGAACAAAACAAGUCGUGAUUCGAUUGUUGCGAUUGAUUUUAAUAGCAUCUCGUUUCAAGGUAACGUUCCGUUGCGAGUUUAUCGAGAUUCUAUACAUAUUUUUCUUCACCCUGUGCAACUAAUUAAUCAUAUUGCAAUGUUAGAACCAUUAUUAUUAUUGCUCUUAUACCAUUGCCAUUAUUAUUAAAGCUCUUAUACUUGGCUUUGCAACUUC